rnacentral:lncRNA from 1 species
CCUAAUCCCACCAUUGUUACCAUUGAAACGAGGAAUAUGAAAAUAAACAAAGUGGUUGGAUUUAUCCUAUUUUUUUUAGCAAGCAUCAAAAAUGCAUUUAGGCCAACAAGAACCAAAGUUCACAAAACAGGAAAUUUGAUUGCGUCAAACUGAAAAAAAAAACCCUCCACCGACAUCCCACUGUCCAGCUUCCUAUUGGCUUCAUGCCUUCGGUUGCAUUCUGCAUGUUCCCCACAUUCAUUUCAUUCACGCUGUUGCUUUUGUUUUUGAGGUUCCAUUGUCUCUAAAUCUCUCCUGACAAUAGGAUGGGGGUGGCAUGAAUGAAUGAAUGAAGUACUGAAUAGGAUAUUUGGGCUAUGUAAGAAGGGAUUAAGAGGGUAGAAAAUCAACUUUGCCCUAUUUCUUCUGCCACUCAUUUAUUUCGCUCUGUCCUUGGCCUCUGUGAGUUCUGCUCCUCCCGAGUUUCCAUUGUCUGCUUAGGUUUUCUCCCUUUCCCGCAGGCUCCUGCUGACUCUGUGUGGUUGCUUCUGAGACAAGAGUUGCUGACUCUCCCAAUCUACACUGUAACCAGCCAGGGAGAAAGCACAGCUCAUUUUAAUGCAGUUCAUUUAGUCUACAUAACCUUGGCUUCCCCAUUACACUCUUCCUGAAGACUCAUGUCUUUACUUCAGUUCCCUGGGCACUGCCAACUCUGCAGUGUGAAGGUGAUAUCAGACGGCAUGGAAAUCUCCUAAGCCAGCUCCCCAAAUUGUCACCCUCUUCCUUAAGGUGGCUUGCUCUGAGCUCGGCGUCCGCAUUUUCCCACAUCCUGGAAAGCACGGUAGUUCCUGUUCCAAUCACGGCAAUGACUUACUCAGUAAAGGUGAGCACCCUGGUACUCACCCUGUGUCCGGAAGGCAGUGCCAAGGUGAAUUGUUCUAAGCAAUCACUAGAAGUCGCAGGGAUUGCCCCAACCACGAUGCUGGAGAAAUGCCCAGAACUCACCCGGCUAAAGAAUCAACUUGCCUCCUCCACCUCUCCUCCCAGAUUCCAUCGAAAGCCAAG